UACGGGGGGGGGUAAGCGUUGUUCGGAAUUACUGGGCGUAAAGGGCUCGUAGGCGGCCAACUAAGUCAGACGUGAAAUCCCUCAGCUUAACUGGGGAACUGCGUCUGAUACUGGAUGGCUUGGAUUCGGGAGAGGAAUGCGGAAUUCCAGGUGUAGCGGUGAAAUGCGUAGAUAUCAGGAGGAACACCUGUGGUGUAGACAGCUUGCUGGACCAUAACUGACGCUGAGGCACGAAAGCGUGGGAGCAAACAGG
rnacentral:rRNA from 1 species